rnacentral:rRNA from 1 species
GAGUUUUAUUCUUCCUGGGUCGAGAGGCCCGGGUAAUCUGUUGAACGUGCAUCGUGAUAGGGAUAGAUCAUUGCAAUUAUUGAUCUUGAACGAGGAAUUCCUAGUAAACGCGAGUCAUCAGCUCGCAUUGAUUACGUCCCUGCCCUUUGUACACACCGCCCGUCGCACCUACCGAUUGAAUCAUUCGGUGAGGAUUCCGGAUUUUGUUGCUUACGCUUUACGGCGUUUUUGACGAAAGAAGUUAUCCAAACCUCAUGAUUUAGAGGAAGGUGAAGUCGUAACAAGGUUUCCGUAGGUGAACCUGCGGAAGGAUCA